AACCAGCUCUUCAAGUGGUCGGGAUAAUUAUUGGGCUUAAAGUGUCCGUAGCCGGUUUAGUAAGUUCCUGGUAAAAUCGGGUAGCUUAACUAUCCGCGUGCUAGGAAUACUGCUAUACUAGAGGGCGGGAGAGGUCUGAGGUACUACUGGGGUAGGGGUGAAAUCUUAUAAUCCUAGUAGGACCACCAGUGGCGAAGGCGUCAGACUGGAACGCGCCUGACGGUGAGGGACGAAAGCCAGGGGAGCGAACCGGAUUAGAUACCCGGGUAGUCCUGGCCGUAAACGAUGCAUACUAGGUGAUGGCACGGCCAUGAGCCGUGUCAGUGCCGUAGGGAAACCGUUAAGUGUGCCGCCUGGGAAGUACGGUCGCAAGGCUAAAACUUAAAGGAAUUGGCGGGGGAGCACCACAAGGGGUGAAGCCUGCGGUUU
rnacentral:rRNA from 1 species